AACCUAGCACACCUGCGGUGUGUACCUGCGGAAGGAUCAUUACAGAGUUGCAAGACUCCCUAAACCAUUGUGAACCUACCUUCUACCGUUGCUUCGGCGGGCGGGCCCAGCGCCCCCCCCGGCCCCCCGCGGGCGCCCGCCGGAGGAUACCCAAACUCUUGACAUUAGUGGCCUCUCUGAGUAUUCUUUACUGAAUAAGUCAAAACUUUUAACAACGGAUCUCAGAUCGGAAGAGCACAC
rnacentral:misc_RNA from 1 species